rnacentral:rRNA from 1 species
CGCCAGAGAACUACGAGCGAAAAACUUAAAACUCCAAGGACUUGGCGGUGCCCCACACCAACCUAGAGGAGCCUGUCCUAUAAUCGAUACUCCACGCUUAACCUUACCUCCCCUUGAAAAUCAGCCUAUAUACCGCCGUCGACAGCCUACCUUAUGAAAGUAACCAAGUUGGCACAAUAGUUAACAACUAGUACGUCAGGUCAAGGUGUAGCACACGGGGUGGCAGAGAUGGGCUACAUUUCCUAGUAUAGAAAAUACGCACAGUGCACUGAAACACGCACUUUAAGGCGGAUUUAGCAGUAAGACAAACAAGAACCUGUCUAAAACCUGCUCUGGGGCGCGCACACACCGCC